rnacentral:rRNA from 1 species
AUUUUAGAGAGUUUGAUCCUGGCUCAGGACGAACGCUGGCGGCGUGCCUAACACAUGCAAGUCGAACGGAGUGUUGCGCUGAAUUGAUAGCAGCUUGCUGAAGGAUUUUCUUGUAACACUUAGUGGCGGACGGGUGAGUAACGCGUGAGCAACCUGCCUUACAGAGGGGGACAACAUUGGGAAACCGAUGCUAAUACCGCAUAAUGUGCCGAGUGGACAUCCACAUGGCACCAAAGGAGCAAUCCGCUGUAAGAUGGGCUCGCGUCCGAUUAGAUAGUUGGAGGGGUAACGGCCCACCAAGUCGACGAUCGGUAGCCGGACUGAGAGGUUGAACGGCCACAUUGGGACUGAGACACGGCCCAGACUCCUACGGGAGGCAGCAGUGGGGGAUAUUGCACAAUGGAG